AUCUAACUGACGAGUCCCGAAUAGGACGAAACGCUCCUUGUCCUGGAU
rnacentral:hammerhead_ribozyme from 1 species